CCUACGAGAGGCAGCAGUGAGGAAUAUUGGUCAAUGGGCGCGAGCCUGAACCAGCCAAGUAGCGUGAAGGAUGACUGCCCUACGGGUUGUAAACUUCUUUUAUAAAGGAAUAAAGUGAGGCACGUGUGCAUUUUUGUAUGGACUUUAUGAAUAAGGAUCGGCUAACUCUGUGCCAGCAACCGCUGUAAUACGGAGGAGCCGAGCGUUAUCCGGGUUUAUUGGGUUUAAAGGGCGCGUAGAUGGGUUGUUAAGUCAGUUGUGAAAGUUUGCGGCUCAACCGUAAAAUUGCAAUUGAUAAUGGCAGCCUUGAGUACAUUUGAGGUAGGCGGAAUUCGUGGUGUAGCGGUGAAAUGCUUAGAUAUCACGAAGAACUCCGAUUGCGAAGGCAGCCUACUAAACUGCCACUGACAUUGAUGCUCGAAAGUGUGGGUAUCAAACAGGAUUAGAUACCCCGGUAGUC
rnacentral:rRNA from 1 species